ensembl:lncRNA
AUGACUUCAUUUUUCACCAGGUUAGAUCUGCAAAGACCCUAUUUCCAAAUAAGGUCUUAUUCACAGGUGCCCGGGAUUAGGACUUCAACAUAUCUUUUGAGGGGACACAAUCCAACAGUCAGAGAGGACCCUGAUCAUGAUAUACCAUCUCCUGUUUUGCACUGGUUGAGGACCACUCCCAAGGCUGUGAACUCUGGCAAUUCAUCCUGCCUUUUGAGUGUUGCAAACAUACUGAGGCCAGAGAACACCAUCAGGCAGAGCCUGCUCCCAGCCAUUAGCAUGUAUGAGAACACACUUAAGAAAUCCAAUGAUCCGUGCUCACUUUGGUGGUACGUAUACUAAAAUUGGAACAAUACAGAGAAGACUAGCAUGGCCCCUGUGCAAGGAUGGCACUCAAAUUUGUGAAGUGUUCCAUAUUGAAAGAAAGAAAGAAAGAAAGAAAGAAAGAAAGAAAGAAAGAAAGGAAAGAAAGAAAGAAAGAAGAAAGAAAAGAAAGAAAGAAAGGAAAGAAAGAAAGAAAGAAAGAAAGAAAGAAAGAAAGAAAGAAAGAAAGAAUCCAUCUUUGUCAGUCUCAAAAUUAAUUAGAAUUCUGUAUGUGUGUGUGUAUGUGAGAUAAGUUAAAAAUAGAAUUUUUAAAUGUUACACCUUGUUUUUAUGCUGAAAUUAAUUUUAGAUAGAAUAAGUAAUGAAAUACUAAGAAACAUAUAGCAUUCUCAUUAGAAGCCAUGAUCAAAAGGUCUUUGGUCAUUGAUGUUAAUUAUAACUUAAGAGUUGGUGAUGGUCACAUAAUCAUUAGGUGCUGGUACAUUCAGUGGCUGGAGUUAUAACUUGGAAAUAAUAUUCUGUAGAUCCUUAGAGAGCCAGUUCAUGAAAUAGAAGUAUAUUAUAUAGCUAGAUAGAAGAUAGUACUUUGGGCCCUGCAAAUUAUCUCAUCCUGACCUCUCUGGGAUGCCUGCAGUAUGGGACUGGUUGACAAGACUAGGUGAUCCACAGUCUAUGGUGGUCUGUUUGCCCUCCAGGGUGGAAGUUCUGGAAUAGUGUAUCUCUCUGAGAGAGUUGAUAUGUUGGGAGUUGCGAUGGUGGCCACCCUGUUAGGAAGAUCCAGGGCAAUCGGGUUGUAUUUAGAGUGUGUGUUUAGAGAGUAGUCAUUCUAUUGGUGUUCAGACCCAUCCUCCUUUUAAGCGUCAGUGUCCAGAGUAGCCUGCAUGUUAUUGUGGCCAGUGCAUCAGUCUCAGAAAAUGUGCAUGAGGUUUUUCAAGGGAGGCAGAACAAGCUUUCAGUGCCUCUAGUGCUUAGUACAUCCCAGCCAUCAAAAAGUCAGGGUAUCACCCAUAUCUUUUCUUUAUUCCCAAACCUCCUUCUAGGUUGAUAUAAAGACCAAUUUCCAGUUAUGAAUGAAGCUGUUAUCUAGGGGAGGAUACUAGAAAUGGGCUCAUAUCCCCUUUCCUGUUUUCAGUACGGGGGCGGGAAGUGUGAUUCCACCCAGCACUCCUACUAUGCUGAGUAAGAGUCCUGAAAAUGCCAUAAACAAAGUAUUUUUAAUACUUUAAUUAUACUGCUAAUACAGCACUUUGGAUUAUAUUUGAUAGACUUCAGACUCUUUAAUAUGGCUUAUAAGGACUUGCAUUAUGUGGCCCUGUUUUACAGUGGGUUCCCCAGAAGUAGACACUGAAAUGAUUUCAGCACCAUGAAGGAAGCACUGGUAGAGAAGUGGAGAAAUGAGAUGCAGAAGAGAAGUCAGCCAACAGGGUAUCUUGUCACAGCAGUUACCACUGAAGAUAACUAAAGCUUAGUCCACUGAGGGAAAAUCUGGGAUCAUUAUAAAACAUGUACUGCAGAAUUAUCCCACCAGAGGGACAGGUAUUAUUAUAUUCCACCUCUCAUCAGUGUUUGGUUGAGAGCAGCUAAAAGUGGGGAGGGGGCACUUAAUUUCCCAGCACUUUUGUCUGCUUCAGGGGCAGGCAAAGUAGCUUCAGUACUAUUUGUCUAAGACCUAAAGGGAUGUGGGCAGCUCUCAUGGUAUCUGCUGUAGGUCCCUUCUUACAUCCCUCGCCUCACUUUCUUCUUAUGCCACAUGCUCUAAGAAUUCUUGACUGCUUGCUUGCUUUCAUUAUUCAGGUUAUUUACAGAGUACAUACCUGAGCAGAGCACUGGCUAGGUACUAGAGAUACAAGGGAACAAGAUAGAAGUGGUCUGUGCCUUCAAGGGCAUGACACUCUCCCUUCUUUUUAAAACACUGUUUCUUUCCUCCCUUACCUAAUAAACUUGUUUACAAAUGACUGUUUACCUGUCUU